rnacentral:rRNA from 1 species
UACGUAGGGUGCAAGCGUUAUUCGGAAUUACUGGGCGUAAAGCGUGCGCAGGCGGUUAUGCAAGACAGAGGUGAAAUCCCCGGGCUCAACCUGGGAACUGCAUCUGUGACUGCAUCGCUGGAGUGCGGCAGAGGGGGAUGGAAUUCCGCGUGUAGCAGUGAAAUGCGUAGAUAUGCGGAGGAACACCGAUGGCGAAGGCAAUCCCCUGGGCCUGCACUGACGCUCAUGCACGAAAGCGUGGGGAGCAAACAGG